ACCCAGCAGCACCUGCAGAUCUGUGGGGAGAGUUCUGGGUCUUUCAGCCUCAAAACUAAACCUGACUCUAAAGCCACAAGCCAUUUCUCUCAGAGGACUCAAACUGAUCUUCAAACACCUGCAGAGUUUGGAAGACACAAUGUUAGUGAAGAUGGUCAGAGCACUGAGGUCAUUUAAGGGUCCAUUUCCACUGACCACAGAUGAGCUUUCACUGAUCACAAAAGACUCAAAGCAAAAUCUUGUCACUUACUAAUGACAAAGUGCUCAUUCGUAUACACAGUCAUUCCUUAAAUGUUGAGCCCCAGCUUUAUUCUGUCCAUCAUUAUGGAGAUUUAUGAGACUCAUUUUCCUUAGUAUGUGUCCAGUCUGAUGAGUUCAAUAGGAAACGACAUUAACCUGAAUGGCAGAGUGUUGGACUCUACAGCACUGCAACACUGUCAAACUCAAUCUGCUCUGGACCUCCAUACCAGAGGAGGAGCUAGAGAGCUUUCUGCCUUU